UGCAGAGCCCACAAGCCAUCCCGAGGUGACAAUGGCUUUUCUGAGUAUUCUAGCCGGCAUCCUUGCGUGUUGCGCUCUACUGCCAGCGAAAGGCCAAGAUCCCCAGCCACUCGUGGCAAACAGUGCAAGUUCUGCAAAUUCUUUAUCAUGGCUGUUGCCGACCUGGGGUGGUCGGCCGAGAAGAUGCCCGCGGGGCGAAGUGUACAAGGAGUGCCAGAGCGGCAGCUGCGGCGAGAACAAGUGCUACCAUCUCGGCAUGCCUAAACCGCUUCCUUGCACGCUAGACUGCGUAACUGGCUGUUUUUGCAUCAGACCCCUGUACAGAAAUGAUAAAGGGCAAUGUGUAGUAGGGUGGCGAUGCCGGAGGGGCGGCCACAACAGGCCGCGCCCGUCAUGGCCUUCCAGAGGACCCGAGUAGAAAACGAGCACUUGCUUUGCAAAAAGGCACCUUUCAUUCUCUGCCUCGGUGUUGUCGGAUUCUCUUGGAGCCCAAAUAAACACUGCAGUGAGUGGAAAAGGCA
rnacentral:lncRNA from 1 species